UACGAAGGGGGCUAGCGUUGCUCGGAAUGACUGGGCGUAAAGGGUGCGUAGGCGGAUGGUACAGUCAGAUGUGAAAUUCCUGGGCUUAACCUGGGGGCUGCAUUUGAUACGUGUUGUCUAGAGUGAGGAAGAGGGUCGUGGAAUUCCCAGUGUAGAGGUGAAAUUCGUAGAUAUUGGGAAGAACACCGGUGGCGAAGGCGGCGACCUGGUCCUUUACUGACGCUGAGGCGCGAAAGCGUGGGGAGCGAACAGG
rnacentral:rRNA from 1 species